AGCAUCCCCGCAUCCCUGCACCCCAGCAUCCCAGCCCCGGGCGCUAGCUAGCCCACGCGGGUACCAAGCAGAGCCGAAAACGCAGCGCACUUCGGGGUCCCGAGGUGAAAAGGCGUAGAUGGAAACGAGAAGGGGCGUCCGAUUCUGUUUUACUCGAGAUGGAAACGAGGAGGGACGUGUGAACCUACUUUAUUCCAUUCAGUAGGGUUGAUUUUCUGAUGGAGGCAGGGCAAAACGGGAUACGGUCCUCAUUCUACUGGCUCUGAGCAUGUUCUGAUCCUUACCGUUUGCCAGUCCUUAAAGUUUUGGUGGGAAUAAACCGGAGGGAACCCCAUUUCUCACGCGCCUGGGGGUCAGUGAGGCAGAUGAGGCAGGACGGAGGGUCUCUGUUGGUUGGCAUGUCCCAGCUCUCCAGUAUUAUCAGGAAUGGAAGUUGGGAGUCCUGAUGAUGCUCAGACUCAGAGUUGGCAAGUGGAGAGCCUCAGUUUAUUAGCCUAUUAGCUAAUGGGCUCCUUUACUAGAAAGGAGGAAGAGAAAACAAAGGGAGAGGGAGGGACUACUCUGGUGAUGAGUUGUGCGGUGUUGGAAUUAUGUGCAUGUGUAAACAGGACUCCUAGUGUGGUAAACCACAGAAUUUGAAUUAAAAAACUUCAAAGUAAAAGCCUAAGUACCAAAGGAAAAAAAAGUAGAAGAGAAAAACAAGAGAAACUCCCCAGGUGGGAAGGAAUGUAGUUUAUUUUGUGGAGUUUUCAUAGGGAACUGGCUCUUUGUCUUACAGGGGGUGCAGACUUUAGAGAUAAGGGGGGUUUCCUACAGACCCUUUGAGAUGGAAAUUGAGUUCUUGGCAGAUCCCUGUCAGGCUGUUUGCCCUAGGUCUUGCCCAUUAUCUCAGCUUCCCAGGGGAGCCUGAGCUCUGGGGCAGAAUGUUUGGAUGGAGCUUGGCUAACUCCCAGUGGAUCAGAAAAAGGUGUGGGAUUUGUGGGAAGUCAGAAAUGUAGGAUGUGGGGCUGGAGCAAUAGCACAGUGGGUAGGGCGUUUGUCUUGCAUGUGGCCGACCCAGGUUCCAUUCCCAGCAUCCCAUAUGGUUCCCUGAGCACCGCCAGGAGUAAUUCCUGAGUGCAUGAGCCAGGAGUAACCCCUGUGCAUCACUGGGUGUGACCCAAAAAGCAAAAAAAAAAAAAAAAAAGUAGGAUGCGCCUGCCCUGCUGGGGCCUGCUCCCUGUGGCUGGAUCGGGCUGGAGUGGACACCGAGGCGCUCUCAGCAGCGCUGUGCCGGGAGGGAAGCGGGUCUCAGUGCAGGGAAGGUCGUUCUGGUGGUGCUGGAACAGCCGUGUGAUGGGCAACUCGGUAAAUCAGGGUGUUUUUCACAGAACAUUGUUUUUAGAAAGUAUGUGGAGCAGAGAGAGCUAAAAUGGAGCCAUGUGCAGCCGCCAAGGACGGGAAACUGAGGCUUCCUCCUGCCCUCACUCACCCCAGGACCCUUUCCUUCAUGUUCCAGGUGCUGUGCCGGGUCCCCAUGGCAGGCACAGAUCCUGGAACACAGAAGGCACGAAGACGGGGCCGGAGCGGGUCCUGGUCUCAAGCAGAGACCACCUGUCUACCCGCUGGUGAUUGACGACCCCUCGCCAGAUUCCGCUCUCAGGGCGCUGUUUGGAAAGGUCGAGAGUUUUAAAAUUCCUUUUGGCUUUGGGGACUGUGUGCCCGAGGCUUGCUCCUGGCUCUGUGCUCAGGCUGCUUCACCAGGAAAUCCACAGGCGAAGAUGCCGCAGGGGGAAUUAACCCCAAGAAGGGGAAGCGCCUCUGUCCUGUCACAGCAGCUGUUUGCAGGACAGGGAGUGGCGGCUGGGUCAGGUGGCUUCACUAACGCUAUUCUCUGUGGCUUCAGAAGCUGCAGGCACCCGGUUCUGGGCUCCGUGGCCUCCGACACCAUCCUAAAAAGUCAGUGCGGGGGCAGCAGGUUGUGGCUGGGCUCAGGAGUCGAGGUUAGCAGCACGCUGCUGCCGCCCAAGCUCAGGGCGCCUCCAGAUUCUCCUUUCGGCCUCUCCAGGGGUCUUUUAAUCUCAGUUCCCCGACAAGGGAUCACUCGGGGUGGGGUGGUGAUGUCGGAGCACCCCACUUAGGCGAGGCUUGUGUGAAGUGGGAGGAAAGACACAGACGGUCACUUUCUCCCCAUCUGCCUCUGUUCGCAGGGACUCAGGGUCACUGUGUUCUUGUCUCGCCUCACAGAAAAGGAUUUCAGGAGUAGAUGAGCAGUGAAGUGAAACAGAUUUCAAAGGAACAGGUUUCAAAGGGGAGGAAGGAGAGAAAGUGGGAGAGAGGGGAGAGGAACGUGCUCAAGAGAGAACCGUGGGCUUCUCCAGAGGCAGAGAGAGCCUACACACACCCCAGCAGGAGACUUGGAAGGAUCAGAGGCCAACCCUCAAGAGGGAAGAUGCAGGCGACACAGGUGCCUGGCCACAUGGGCAAAAGCGGCACAUGUUGCCCCUCCCUUUGCUCAAGGUGGCUUUCAUAGGGGUUUUUCCAGCCUGGCCCCACCUGGGGUUUCUACCCAGCUGCAGCUUCUCUAGCAGGGGGGUCCAAUCUGCUCCAGGUCUGUUGCUGGCCACCCACCCUGUGCUGUCGCUCAGGCCUGCAGUGCUGCUGUGCCCCCCAGGAGUCUGGAGCCAUCAAGAGCAGCGGCCCGGGAGCUGGUCAGCGGCCGGAGACUCACCCGGGGGACAGGCUGGGUAGACACUGUACAGGGACCUCUGCGGGGACUCCGGGCAGGUUUUUGUCUCCCAUGGUGGUGCUGAGGACUUACUGCUGGCUCUGCUCCGAAGACACUCCUGUGGGGUCUGUGCGCCAGAGUCUCUGCAUUCUCCCACGACUACAGGCUCACUCGUGCUGGAGUGUUUAGAGAAGAGGCAGCCAUUUCCCUAUCACGGGAGCCCCGGUUCAUUGGGUCCCCUGAAGGAAUCUUUCUUCUCCUGCCUUGACUCAGGAGGGUGGAAGGGGUGCAGCCACUUGGGCCUUGCCCUCUGCAUGCAGGCACCGGCGUUUCCUGAGCAGCAGUGACGAAGGUCCUGCCAUCAUCGUCCAGAGGAGCCCACAGUGGCCCUGAAACACACGUGUGUGGUGGGACCCAGCCCUGGCACCGUGUCUGUGCUGCUGGCUCACUCGUGCUGGAGUGUUGAGAAAACAGGCAGCCGUUUCCUUGUCACGGGAGUCGGUCCUUUGGGUCCCCUGAAGGAAUCUUUCUUCUCCUGCCUUGACUCAAGAGGCGCUGGUGUUUCCUGAGCAGCAGAGAAGAAGGUCACACCGUCAUCGUCCAAAGGACCACCACAGCGGCCCUGGAACACACGUGUGUGGUGGAACCCAGCCUUGGCACAGUGUCUGUGCUGCUAUGGGGUCUGUGCGCCAGUGUCUCCAUGCAUUCUCCCGUGACUGCAGGCUCACUCAUGCUGGAGUGUUGAGAAAAGAGGCAGCUGUUUCCUUGUCACGGAGCCCGGGCCUUUUGGGUCCCCUGAAGGAAUCUCUCCUCCUGCCUUGACUCAAGAGAAAAGAUUCCGUCAUGGGCCAGCUUUCAAAAACUUCUCCCCUGAAUCAGUGCUGUGUCACAUUCAGAGUCUUCACAGUCAUCUCGGGACAAUGCAUGACGGCAGCACGGAGACCACCUCUGAGAUUCUGAGAAGGGCCCCGAUAUAUUUUCCCCUGCUCUUGGAAAGACCAGCUGAGUCUGGAAAGAGCGUCUGAGUUGUGGCCUGCGGCCCCCGGCUAGAACCACAGCAGAGACUCGGGCUCAGGCCUUCUGGGGCGACUGGGAUAGGAACUUGCAAUGGGAAAGCGAUGCCGCUGUCCCCGCAGACUCUGGCUGUGAAGGGCGGGGACACUCAGCAGGGAGAUGGGCCUUGCAGGGAGUUGAGAAGUGCGUUGACCCUUGAACCUGAUGGAAACACGGGUCUCCUCUGCCCACCGCCAGCCAGUGCUCCUUGGGACCAGCAAGCCCCCCCCCCACACACACAAAAGCACAGACAUCAGUUUCUUCUGCGUUGUGGGAUGCAGCGCUCAGCGCGAUGUGGAAGGAGUCAGUGUGGGUUAGUGGCGCGAGGCCAGGUGCCACGUGAUCUGCCCUGUCAUCGGACUUGUCAGGGACUGUUUUCUAGGAAGGCCUGAUGACGACCAUAAGGGUUUGCUUUGGGACGUCGCCAGAGAUGCCACGUCAGCCCCGUCCAUCUCUCCAUCCUUUGGUUACUUUGCUGCAUGAUGUAGUUGAAGGCACGUGGCACCUUUUCACCGCCGUUCACGUGGCCCCAUAGUCCUGUGCAAGAGGAGGGGUCCGGGCCCCAGGUUCCCCAUGGGGGCUGCGUGUUGGCCUCAGACCUGGUGGUCUGGCACAGGGAGUGAGGCUUCAUCUUCCGCCUGGCUCCGUCUUCUGCCUAGCUUCACCCUCCGCAUGUGAUUUGCCCUCUGCGUGGCUUUGUCCUUUGCACAUGGCUUUGUCCUCUGCGUGGUUUGUCCUCUGCAUGGCUUCAUCUUCCACGUGGCUUUGUCCUCCACAUGACUUCAUCCUCCGCGUGGCUAUGGAGCCCUGUGUGUGUCCCUUGUGUGGGUGCUAGCUGGGACCGGUGUCCCCGGGGAUCCCCUUUGGAAGGGAAGCAUGGUGCUGAACUGUACUGGCCCAGGCUGGUGCGAGCACAGUGAGCAUCAGGAGGUGAGUUCAGAACGAGCACCGGCCUCACCAACUGCCAGAAUGAGCCCCGGAAAAUUGCACAGCCUGGCGGUGCCCGUCCUGAAGGGAAGCUGCCGUCACAGCUGGAUGUGUUCAUGCAGCGAGUUGGGAAACAGUUCUGCAGUUGUCUCGCCGCUCACAGCCGUUCUCCAGGGCGGGCCUUUGCCUCGUGUCUAAUUACUUGUUUUUACAUUUAUCAAAAUCUGUGCCAAGACUUUCCAUAGGAGCUGCAUAAUAAAUGCCACUUUGGGUUUUCACA